UAGGGAAUCUUCCGCAAUGGACGCAAGUCUGACGGAGCAACGCCGCGUGAGUGAAGAAGGAUUUCGGUUCGUAAAACUCUGUUGUUAGAGAAGAACAGCGCAUAGAGUAACUGUUAUGCGUGUGACGGUAUCUAACCAGAAAGCCACGGCUAACUACGUGCCAGCAGCCGCAGUAAUACGUAGGUGGCAAGCGUUGUCCGGAUUUAUUGGGCGUAAAGCGAGCGCAGGCGGUCAAUUAAGUCUGAUGUGAAAGCCCCCGGCUCAACCGGGGAGGGUCAUUGGAAACUGGUUGACUUGAGUGCAGAAGAGGAGAGUGGAAUUCCAUGUGUAGCGGUGAAAUGCGUAGAUAUAUGUAGGAACACCAGUGGCGAAGGCGACUCUCUGGUCUGUAACUGACGCUGAGGCUCGAAAGCUUGGGUAGCAAACAGG
rnacentral:rRNA from 1 species